GCAUGGCUGUCGUCAGCUCGUGUCGUGAGAUGUUGGGGUAAGUCCCGCAACGAGCGCAACCCUUGUCCUUAGUUACCAGCGGUUUGGCCGGGAACUCUAAGGAUACUGCCAGUGACAAACUGGAGGAAGGCGGGGACGACGUCAAGUCAUCAUGGCCCUUACGACCAGGGCUACACACGUGCUACAAUGGUAGGUACAGAGGGCAGCUACACAGCGAUGUGAUGCGAAUCUCAAAAAGCCUAUCGUAGUCCAGAUUGGAGUCUGCAACUCGACUCCAUGAAGUAGGAAUCGCUAGUAAUCGCGGAUCAGAAUGCCGCGGUGAAUACGUUCCCGGGCCUUGUACACACCGCCCGUCAAGUCACGAAAGUUGGUAACACCCGAAGCCGAUGGCCUAACCACCUUGUGUGGAGGGAGUCGUCGAAGGUGGGACUG
rnacentral:rRNA from 1 species